UACGUAGGGUGCGAGCGUUUGUCCGGAAUUACUGGGCGUAAAGAGCUCGUAGGUGGUUUGUCGCGUUGUUCGUGAAAACUCACAGCUUAACUGUGGGCGUGCGGGCGAUACGGGCAGACUGGAGUACUGCAGGGGAGACUGGAAUUCCUGGUGUAGCGGUGGAAUGCGCAGAUAUCAGGAGGAACACCGGUGGCGGAAGGCGGGUCUCUGGGCAGUAACUGACGCUGAGGAGCGAAAGCGUGGGGAGCGAACAGG
rnacentral:rRNA from 1 species